UAGGGAAUUUUCGGCAAUGGGCGAAAGCCUGACCGAGCAACGCCGCGUGAGUGAUUAAGGCCUUCGGGUUGUAAAGCUCUGUUGUAAGGGAAGAAUGACCGGUAGAGGAAAUGCUAUCGGAGUGACGGUACCUUACCAGAAAGCCACGGCUAACUACGUGCCAGCAGCCGCGGUAAUACGUAGGUGGCAAGCGUUAUCCGGAAUUAUUGGGCGUAAAGGGUGCGUAGGCGGUUUAGCAAGUCUAAGGUGAAAGUUCGGGGCUUAACUCCGGAUUGCCUUAGAAACUACUAGACUCGAGUGCAGGAGAGGGCAAUGGAAUUCCAUGUGUAGCGGUAAAAUGCGUAGAUAUAUGGAGGAACACCAGUGGCGAAGGCGGUUGCCUGGCCUGUAACUGACGCUGAAGCACGAAAGCGUGGGGAGCAAAUAGG
rnacentral:rRNA from 1 species